AGCCUGUCCAUGCAAGUUUGAACUACUGAAUGAUAUUUUCUAAAUAAUGCAUUUGCAAGUGGUAUAACUUUUUGACUGAAAUUAAUGAACGGGUCACAACAUCCAACCGUCGAAUAUCAGCAACUAUUAAAUUGAUAUCAAUAUAGUACACGUUUCGUAUAGAAUAAGUACUAAAUAAUGAGGGGGAAGGAGGACAUAUUAAAUAGUCAAUGGGCGAAAGGAAAAACGUAUAAAAAUCACAUUUUUCAUUCGGGUCUAAUAUAAUCUAAACCGACGAAGUGCAAAUAUCUAAAAUAUU